UAAGUAGUGUAAUACGAGGUGGAAAUGUAG
rnacentral:piRNA from 1 species